rnacentral:rRNA from 1 species
UACGUAGGUGGCAAGCGUUGUCCGGAUUUACUGGGCGUAAAGAGCGCGCAGGCGGUCGGAUAAGUCGAAUGUGAAAGCCCCCGGCUCAACUGGGGAGGGUCAUUCGAUACUGUUCGACUCGAAGGCAGGAGAGGGAAGUGGAAUUCCCGGUGUAGUGGUGAAAUGCGUAGAUAUCGGGAGGAACACCAGUGGCGAAGGCGGCUUCCUGGACCGACACUGACGCUGAGGCGCGAAAGCUAGGGGAGCAAACGGG